UACGGAGGGGGCUAGCGUUGUUCGGAAUUACUGGGCGUAAAGCGCACGUAGGCGGAUCAGAAAGUCAGAGGUGAAAUCCCAGGGCUCAACCUUGGAACUGCCUUUGAAACUCCUGGUCUUGAGGUCGAGAGAGGUGAGUGGAAUUCCGAGUGUAGAGGUGAAAUUCGUAGAUAUUCGGAGGAACACCAGUGGCGAAGGCGGCUCGCUGGCUCAUUGCUGACGCUGAGACGCGAAAGCGUGGGGAGCAAACAGG
rnacentral:rRNA from 1 species